GGAUUCUCUGGCACCUCUCAUUAGGACAGGCAGAACUUGGCAGAAGACCUAGGGACUCCUUCCGAUCUCCUGGGAACAGAGAUGGAUGAGCAAGACUCAGCUGGCCCUGAAGCAGGAAGAGGCCAUGCCAUCCAACAUGGGAGCAGCGGGGGAUUCUGGGAAAACACUGUGAGGAAGAACCUGGGUCAGGAGGACACCCUCUGCUCAGAGGUGCAGAGCCAGCAUUUGAGGCAGUUCUGCUCCCAGGAGGCCAAAGGACCCCGAGAGAUUUGCAGCCAACUCUAGAAGAGGAGGGAGAGUAUCCCCCAAUUCUCUACUAAUUUGCCCAUCCUUUUUUGGAAAGCAUCCAAGGAAUGAUAUUGGACAGCCCUUAAGUGUUUGCAUCUGCUGCUCCUUUUCUAAUCCUUCUCCCCACUCUCUCUUGAAUCCUUGUUGCUCUCUCAGGGGAAGGAUCCGUUAGCAGAAAUGGGUCCAGAUUCCUCUGAGGCAGAGAAGACUCCCUUGGACUCCAGAGAGAGGCCUCUGGGUAAGGAGGAAGGAGUUCUUUCUCUGUUUCGUCACAUUUUGUGGAUUUUGAAACUAAUCUGUGAUUUCUUUUCAUCUUAUUGGAGAAGUCACAGGGGACCAAGAGUCCAGAGAAAGGGAGAUGUAUUUUUGCACAACUAGUAUGUCAAAUGGGUGCAAACGUCCACAUUUACAUGGCAACUCCUCCUUGUUUGAAGGCGCACCUGUAGGCGCACGGGAAUGUUUGUGCACAGGAUUAAAAGAAUGAUUUGAAGAACACCAGUUUCUUAAUGCCCUUCAUUAAAAUACACAAUGAAUACCGGUAAUUCCAUUAACACAUCAAAAUAUGCAUCCAUAAAAUGUGCAGGAAAAAAAUCCAGUUAAUACAGAACAUCAAUUAAGAGGCAGAAAACAACAAAGUGUAACAGUUCACCUUUUUCUUUUAGGGUCCAGUGUGCUUUGAAGAUGUAGCCUUCCAUUUCACAGACGUGGAAUGGGCAUUGCUGGAUCCUGACCACAGAGCCCUCCAUAAGGAAGUCAUGGAGGAGAAUCGGGGGAUUUCGGACUCUCUCAGUAAGGCUUAAUAUUAUGCCUACCCCCCUCCAAGAUGGCCCCCUUUUGCUCUUGAAGGGCUGGCCUGUCUGCAGCCCCCACAGCCUCCCAUCAGGGAACCUUCAUGGGGGCAGAAGCAGAGGAAAGGCCUCAGGAAAGCAGCCAUGGCUCUGGCCAGAUGCACAGGAGGAGCAGCGCUGACCCAAAUUAUGAUUUAUUCCUUCAAUGCCUCCUUCACGUCAUGACUGGUCUAAGUCCUUUCAGGGCGUCCUUGGCAUUAAAAUGAAAGCCUAUCUGGUGCCCGGAGAGCCUGGUGAGGAAAAGGCCCGCCAGGGAGAUGUCCUUGCAGAGCCUCUCCCCCUCUGGGCCUUUCCUGCUCCUUCUGGGGUGUUUGGUUUUUAGCCAAGAGAAAGCUUGCUCUUCUUGUCUCCUCUCCCCCCCCAGUGACUUCACAGCUCUGCUGCAGUCCCUUCCCAGAUACAGAUCCAGUCGGGAUUCAGGCCUCAUCAUGGGACUGAAACUGCCUUGGUCGCGCUGGUUGAUGAUCUCCGGCGGGCUAGGGACAAAGGUGAGAGCUGUGUCCUAGUUCUGCUGGAUCUCUCAGCGGCUUUUGACACCAUCGACCAUAACAUCCUUCUGGACCGUCUUGAGGGGCUGGGAGCUGGGGGCACUGUCAUACAGUGGUUCCGCUCCUUCCUCCUGGGCCGUGUUCAGAAAGUGGUGGUGGGGGGUGAGUGUUCAGACCCCUGGGCUCUCACUUGUGGGGUGCCUCAGGGUUCUGUCCCAUCUGGUACGCAGGAUGAGACCCUAUCGGCCUGCAGAAUGCCUUGCCAGAGUGGUGCAUGCUCUGGUUAUCUCCUGCUUGGACUACUGCAAUGUGCUCUAUGUGGGACUACCUUUGAAGGUGACUCGGAAACUACAACUAAUCCAGAAUGUGGCAGCCAGACUGGUGACUGGGAGCGGCCGCAGAGACCAUAUAACACCCGUCUUGAAAGACCUACACUGGCUCUCAGGACAUUUCCAAGCACAAUUCAAAGUGUUGGUGCUGACCUUGUAAGCCCUAAAUGGCCUCAGCCCAGUGUUCCUGAAGGAGCGUCUCCGCCCCCAUCAUUCUACCCGUACACUGAGGUCCAGCGCCGAGGGCCUUCUGGCUGAGGGCCUUCUCAGUGGUAGAACACCCUCCCAGCAGAUGUCAAAGAGAACAACAACUACCAGACUUUUAGAAGACAUCUGAAGGCAGCCCUGUUUAGGGAAGCUUUAAAUAUUUGAUGUAUUACAGUAUUUUAAUAUUUUUUGGGAAGCCGCCCAGAGUGGCUGGGGAGGCCCAGCCGGAUGGACGGGGUAUAAAUAAUAAAUUAUUAUUAUUAUUACACCCAAAGACACCCCAUGUGGUUUAGCAGACAGACUAAGAGCUCUGGAGCUGGAGGAGGGAGACCUGGGCCCAGUUCCCCCCAUGGCUAGGAGCUUUGGAGGGAGGUGGGGAAGAUGGGGAGUGAGAGGAGCUGGUUCUGGGUGGAAACAUCCACUCUGAGGAAAAGAUCACCAGCUAGAGAAAGGAGUCUCUGAGCUUAGUGGGAAGGACAGUGUGUGGUGUCCUGGGAGAGUAAAUCAGGCCAGGAAUGAACUGGGAGGCUGAGCCAGGAGAAGGAGGAGCUGGAAAGAGACCGGCUGCUGAGCUCUCAUCCCAGUCAGGAGGGGAGAGAUCCUUCUAGAAAGAGAAGACUCCCAAACCAGAGAUCCCUUGGGUCUUUGGCUUGGAGUACCUUGGGAGUAGGGUUGUCCAAGGGGUGUGUAACUGGCAGAAAGUGCCACCUUGUUAAGAACCAAAGUAUUACGUGAGAAACAACUGAGAAAACAUUGAAGGUACUAACAUUGUAAACUGAAAUAUCCUACGUUUUAUCCACUCGUGUCAUAAACUUCCUUGUUAAAUAAAAUCGUUAAUGUUUAUUUG